rnacentral:rRNA from 1 species
UACAGAGGAGCCAAGCGUUGUCCGGAUUGACUGGGCGUAAAGCGCACGCAGGCGGUUGCGCGCGUGGGGUGUGAAAUCUGGCCGCUUAACGGCCAGGCGCCAUCCCAUACGGCGCGACUGGAGUGAUGUAGAGGUCGAUGGAAUUGCCGGUGUAGUGGUGAAAUGCGUAGAGAUCGGCAGGAACACCCAGGGGGAAACCAGUCGACUGGGCAUCUACUGACGCUGAGGUGCGAAAGCGUGGGGAGCGAACCGG